GUCCCUCAGUUAGUACAGUAGGAGACUCUUAAUCUCAGGGUUGUGGGUUCGAGUCCCACAUUGGACA